CCCCCCCGACGGGACCCACCUUGACGUGGUGGGGGGGCUCACCGACUUCGGUUGGUGCCAAGAGGUAC
rnacentral:ribozyme from 1 species